rnacentral:rRNA from 1 species
GCACAAGCGGUGGAGUCAUGUUGGUUUAAUUCGAAGCAACGCGAAGAACCUUACCAGGUCUUGACAUCCCUGACAACCCGAGAGAUCGGGCGUUCCCCUUCGGGGGACAGGGUGACAGGUGGUGCAUGGUUGUCGUCAGCUCGUGUCGUGAGAUGUUGGGUUAAGUCCCGCAACGAGCGCAACCCUCGACCUUAGUUGCCAGCAUUCAGUUGGGCACUCUAAGGUGACUGCCGGCUAAAAGUCGGAGGAAGUGGGGAUGACGUCAAAUCAUCAUGCCCCUUAUGACCUGGGCUACACACGUGCUACAAUGGGCGGUACAAAGGGUCGCGAACCCGCGAGGGGGAGCCAAUCCCAAAAAGCCGCUCUCAGUUCGGAUUGCAGGCUGCAACUCGCCUGCAUGAAGCCGGAAUCGCUAGUAAUCGCGGAUCAGCUACGCCGCGGUGAAUACGUUCUCGGGCCUU